rnacentral:rRNA from 1 species
UAAUACGUAUGGGGCAAGCGUUAUCCGGAUUUACUGGGUGUAAAGGGAGCGUAGGCGGCAUGGCAAGUCAGAAGUGAAAGCCUGGGGCUCAACCCUGGAAUUGCUUUUGAAACUGUCAAGCUAGAGUGUCGGAGGGGUAAGUGGAAUUCCUAGUGUAGCGGUGAAAUGCGUAGAUAUUAGGAGGAACACCAGUGGCGAAGGCGGCUUACUGGACGACUACUGACGCUGAGGCUCGAAAGCGUGGGGAGCAAACAGG